rnacentral:rRNA from 1 species
GCUUGUCUCAAAGAUUAAGCCAUGCAUGUCUAAGUAUAAGCCUUUAUAUGGUGAGACUGCGAAUGGCUCAUUAAAUCAGAAACUGUUUAUUUGAUAGUGCCUACUACAUGGAUACCUGUAGUAAUUCUAGAGCUAAUACAUGCAAAAAGCCUGGACUUCUGGAAAGGGUGUACUUAUUAGAUGGAAACCAAUGCGGGGCAACCCGGAUACUGGUGAUUCAUAAUAAUUUUCGGAUCGAUCGUAGGAUCGAUGCAUCAUUCAAGUUUCUGCCCUAUCAGCUUUGGAUGGUAGGGUAUUGGCCUACCAUGGCAUUAACGGGUAACGGAGAAUUAGGGUUCGAUUCCGGAGAGGGAGCCUGAGAAAUGGCUACCACAUCCAAGGAAGGCAGCAGG